UACGUAGGGGUCGAGCGUUGUCCGGAGUUACUGGGCGUAAAGCGUGUGCAGGCGGCUCAUUGCGCCCGGCGUGAGAGCCCCCGGCUCAACCGGGGAGAGUCGUCGGGGACGGGUGAGCUUGAGGGUAUCAGGGGCUGGUGGAAUUCCCGGUGUAGUGGUGAAAUGCGUAGAUAUCGGGAGGAACACCCGUGGCGAAGGCGGCCAGCUGGGAUACACCUGACGCUGAGACACGAAGGCGUGGGGAGCGAACGGG
rnacentral:rRNA from 1 species